CAGUCGCCGCGGGAAUACGUAUGUCACAAGCGUUAUCCGGAUUUAUUGGGCGUAAAGCGCGUCUAGGUGGUUAUGUAAGUCUGAUGUGAAAAUGCAGGGCUCAACUCUGUAUUGCGUUGGAAACUGUGUAACUAGAGUACUGGAGAGGUAAGCGGAACUACAAGUGUAGAGGUGAAAUUCGUAGAUAUUUGUAGGAAUGCCGAUGGGGAAGCCAGCUUACUGGACAGAUACUGACGCUAAAGCGCGAAAGCGUGGGUGGCAAACAGGAUUAGAUACCCCUGUAGUCCCUGUCUCUUAUACA
rnacentral:rRNA from 1 species